UCCGCUCCGCUCCGCUCCCGUGUCGCUCUGACAGGGGCGACACCGGGGCGCCCCAGCCCUAGCCGCCACCAGCCUCAACCACCACCACCCCACCGCCGUCGCCGGCGGCGGCGAAGGCCUGCUCCUGAAACCAGGGACUCGCGCUCCUCCCUCAAAUCCAAGCUCCCCUCGCUCAGAUGCUUUGGCGGCUCUCGUCACUGGAUGCAGCGGCGUGCUGCGCGGGCUCCUGCCCGUCAGCUGCUCCAGCUGGUUGAUGCGGGGUGGCAGCCCACUCUACCUCUCUGGUUCGUCCGCUCCGGCUGUGGCCGGAUGUUUGCUCGGCGCGGCGAUGUGGGGCGCGGCGGCGUGGCUUUCGCCCAGAUCUGCGGGUUCAGUGGCGGGGGAUUGCGGCCACGGGGGUGCUGGCGCAGGGCGUCCUUGUCCUGGGUGCGCGCGGCCCUGGGCGCGUGGCGCGGUCGCCGGAGCGGCAUCGGGUGUAGCAUGGAGUGGUGGCACCCGGUGCGGGUGCGGGCGGCUACGGGCGCGCGUCAGGUCAGGAGAGCUGCGGGGUGAGGUGGUUCUGGAGCGGCUGGCGCGCCGGCUCCAGAUCUGGCAGUGCUCGGAGUUUGCCGAGGCCCCCAUCCCCGAUCUGGCAAUCUUCGCGGCGGUUGGUCGUGGGAUGGUUCUCAGCGGCUUGGUUGGCGCUGCCGGCAGUGAUGGUGGAUGCGUGGCUUGCUUCUGGCUCGGGUUAAGCUGGUCGUGAUGGCGGACGGCCCAGGCGGCGAUCUCAGGCCAGAUCUGACCUGCAGUGCUCCGAAUCGGGUCCUGUGCGACGGUGCUCUGGGAGAAAUCCCCGCUCACCCAUUGUGUGAGCCGACCACGACGGCGCCACCCCGGCAUCGUAUACCUUCCUAGAGGCGUGGUCUCCGAGCUAUUUCGUGUGGAUCUGCGGCGUGGUUCUGGCUGUCUUGCUGUAGGGAUGUGCUCAAACUUCGGGUGAGAACCUUGCAUCGACUUUGUCGAUGUCGGUGACAGCGGCGUCUAUGGACGUCGUCUUCCUUGCAGGAGGUGCCGCUGUGGAGCUCCAGCACCUACGGUACUUUGCUUUGUGGUCUCCGGGUGAAAACCUAAGUUCCGGCUCGCCGGGUCGGAUGAUGGUGUUGUGUCUUCGACAGCACUACCUCCUUGGAGGCGUCAUCUUGGAGACCCUCAAACGACGGCUCCUGUUGCUGCGCGUGGUUGAUGGUGGUGCGGCCAUCUUGGGGCCGAUGGUGGUGUCCUCUUCUUCAUGUGUUUCUCUUCGACUGUCCUUCGUGUGGUCUCCGUGUGCAUGCUCAAGACCUUCCCAUGGUUGCCGUUGUGCUGCGGCGAGCUUCGGGCUCUUGGUGUUGUCUUGGUUCACCUUUGCUCAAUGACGGCGCAAUGAUGCCUCCCCAACCUGCUAAUCGUUUUGACCGCCCGUGGCGGAUCUCCCAGUCAAGGUUCGUGUUAAGGUUUGGCACUCGUUGAUUAUGGUUGAUCCUCUGUUGUGCCGUGGGGCUCGCACGCCGGUGCGGUGCGUUAGGUUGUUUGCAGAGUCUUGGUAUUGUGAUCCCUGGACAAAAACCCACAUCUACUUGUGUCUCUCGUGGUGUUGGUCUUUUGCCUGCUAGCUAGGUCAUGCCCUCUCCUAGGUGGCAAUUUUUUUCUCAUCUUCUGUAACCUUGUUACCUGUAUGGUUUUCGGCCCGGUUUUCCUCAUAAACGGGGUCAACUUGUUUAGGUUUUUGAUCCGGUUUCCCUUAUAAACUGGAUCAGCCAAAGCUUAAGGGGUGACCCUUAGCUUUGGCAGCUUUUUGAGCAAUAUAUUCAGGUUCAUCGGGAGGCUGGUGGAACAGCAUCAUUGAGCGACGCACGGCUCGACGACCCCGUGGCGGCUGCAGAAGAGGCCGCGUUCUGCAAGGCCUGCGCAAGGCUCGGCUUCGGGCUGUACCUGUACCACGAAGACGAGGUGCUGUGAAGGACGCCUCUUCUCUCACCCUAUCCACGCUCAAAAGGUCAGAUGCCAAGCUUGCCAGAGCUUGUAUGUACCGCUGCAAGAUAUCACCCCACAUGAGCUGUAACUGUAAAUAUGAGGCGUAUUUUGUUUACCUUUGUGUUUGUUGGCACAUCAGCUGUUGUAAUCUCUGUGCGAUAAGCGCGUCACUCGUUUUCUGAAUUGUACCCCUGUGAUGAUUCCAGUUACAAUUGGUAUAAAUACAUGAUGCCACAGUUGUUAGAGUU